AAAUAUUUUACAGAUAAACAUUUCAAUUCAAAAUUCAAUCGCCCGAGCAAUAAUUAGGAACACCUGGAAAGUUAAACUGGUAUUUGCUUCCAUAACAGUGACAAACAAUAACCAUUCACAACAUUAGUUAUAAUCCUUAAAAAGAAAUAACAAACUUCAAAAAAAAAUAUAUAGACGUUUUACAAUGACUGUUGGCUUGGCACAUCAAUCUAAAGCUCACAAGCAGUUUGCAUUUCUCAUCAUCUCUUUCUUCUUCCCUCUAUUAUCAAUGGAUUGUAGAAGCUCAAAUGAAGCAAGUAGCAGCAGGAACAACACAAGCAACUUUUACUAUCAAUCCCCAUCCUUCUCCAUUCAAAAUGCAUCAUGACCAUUUUCCGGCCAGCUCCAUACACAAAAACAACAGUAAAUAUAUCCGGAAACAACAAAAAAAUUAACCCAAAAGUAGUAGUAAAUUUAUACAAAAACAGAAAAAAAUUUAACUGAAAUACGGCAGCAAAUUAACCCAAAACCAGCAGAAUUUUAACACAGAAAUAGCAGCAACUGAAGCCCAAAACACCCGAAAAUUUUACCCAAAAACAGCAGUAAAUUUAUCCAGAAACAGCAGAAAAAUUAAUUGAAAAACAGCAGCAAAUUUACCCAGAAGCAGCAGAAAAUUUAACCCAAAAAUAGCAGUAAAUUUAUCUAGAAACAGCAGAAAAUUUAAUUGAAAAACAGCAGCAAAUUUACCCAGAAGUAGCAGAAAAUUUAACACAAAAACAGCAGCAAAUGAAGCCCAAAACAGCAGAAAAUUUAACCACAAAACAGCAGAAAAUUUAACCCAAAAACAGCAGUAAAUUUAUCCAGAAACAGCAAAAAAUUUAACUGAAAAACAGCAGCAAAUUUACCGAGAAACAACAGAAAAUUUAACACAAAAACAGUAGCAAAUGAAGCCCAAAACACCAGAAAAAUUUACCUCCAAACAGCAGAAAAUAUAACCCAAAAACAGCAGUAAAUUGAUCCAAAAACAGCAGAAAAUUAGACUAAAAACAGCAGCCAAUUUACCCAGAAACAGCAAAAAAUUUAACUCAAAAUCAGCAGCAAAUGAAGCCCAAAACACCAGAAAAAUUUAACCCAAGAACAACAGCAAAUCAUUCCAAAUACAGCAUAAAAUUUACCCAGAAAAAAAAAGCAUAUCAAAUCAUCCCAAAUACAGCAGCAAAUCAUCCCUACGUUUCAAACAUGCUUCUCUAGGCUAACUCUAGACUUAAUUUUCCCUUCAUUACCACAGUGGAACUCAUUCUAACUGGUAAAUUUAUUUGUAUAAACAAUAAUUCACUUUCUAUUGAACUAAGAGUUGAUGAAAUUCAUUGAUAUUGAAAUUAUUUGCAGUUGAUGAACCUCGUAUUCUAUUAAACUUCCAACCAAAAUCAAUGCACAUGAGAAUACAAAAUCAAGGGCACAACAAUUAACGAAAUUUACUUUUAAUUUCGUCCAAACCUAUACAUCGCACCAAAUUAAGGUUCAGUUUCUAUUUCUUCAUUAACCCAAGUGACACAAAACAAUUCUAUUAAAUUUUAUGUUGAAAUUAUUUGUAGCAAACAAACAAAUAUACCAAAAAUAGGCUUACUUGGUGGAAUUAACAACAAUGCAAACGCGGUGGAGGGGAAUCAGUGGCUGGAACUUGCCUUGCCUUCUCUUCCAAUCAAUAAGAUUGAGGGCAGCAGCAACAACUUAUGAUCAACACCUGGUACUCCGCUUCAGGCACUGUCAAAUCUCAUCAAAAUUUCUUUAUCCCUUAAUUCUCUUGGAAACCAAACAAAAUACCACAACCAAUCCAGAUGCACAGUAUCCAAAAAUUAUAAAAAAAUCCACUUAAAAAACUUAAAAAAGGGUUAAAAAAAGUCUUAAGAAGAGUUUACCUCCUGAAUCACUGAUGCCCAGCCGGUAUCGUUGUUCCAAAACCCCUUGACGAAUACGAACACAGCCUGGUUCUCCUCAACCAAGUUGUUGUAGAGCUUCUUCUUGUCCGAUUAAAUAAUCUAUUGGUAUUUAGUGAUGGAUUUAAAGAGGAACGCCUUGGCGAUGGGCAAAUUUCAAAUCCGCUUCUGUUUUGCUGCAAGCAGAUUUCAAAUCGGUGAUGGGCAGGAACACAAACUCAGCCCCUUCACCAACAUGAACCGUUGUAGAGCUUCUUAUUUCUCGCUUCUUUUUGGCUUCAGGCAGUUUUCAAAGCGAUGAUUGGCAGGAAAAGAGGAACGAUUGAGGAAAACAAAAUUUGGGUUAGCCAGCAAGCACAAUCGCUUCGAAAAUACAAGAUCCGGCGUGCUGCAAUUUCUUAGACUCGAUGUUGUGCCCUUCGAAUUAUGAGAUUCUAUUUGGAUUUUUGUAGAUUCG
rnacentral:lncRNA from 1 species